rnacentral:rRNA from 1 species
UACGAAGGGGGCUAGCGUUGUUCGGAAUCACUGGGCGUAAAGCGCACGCAGGCGGAUCGGUAAGUCGGGGGUGAAAGCCCGGGGCUCAACCUCGGAAUUGACUUCGAUACUGUCGGUCUCGAGUCCGGGAGAGGUGAGUGGAAUUCCUAGUGUAGAGGUGAAAUUCGUAGAGAUUAGGAAGAACACCAGUGGCGAAGGCGGCUGACUGGCCCGGUACUGACGAUCAGGUGCGAAAGCGUGGGGAGCAAACAGG